AAGGGCGUAUGGGGGAUGUCUUGGCAUCAGAAGGCGAUGAAGGGCGUGGAAGUCUGCGAAAAGCUCGGGGGAGUUGACAAACAAGUGAUGAUCCCGAGAUUCCCGAAUUAGCUCAUGGUGAAUCCAUAACCAUGAGUGGCCAACGUAGGGAAC
rnacentral:rRNA from 1 species